rnacentral:rRNA from 1 species
AGAGCGAACGCUGGCGGCAGGCUUAACACAUGCAAGUCGAGCGGGCGUAGCAAUACGUCAGCGGCAGACGGGUGAGUAACGCGUGGGAACGUACCUUUUGGUUCGGAACAACACAGGGAAACUUGUGCUAAUACCGGAUAAGCCCUUACGGGGAAAGAUUUAUCGCCGAAAGAUCGGCCCGCGUCUGAUUAGCUAGUUGGUGAGGUAACGGCUCACCAAGGCGACGAUCGGUAGCUGGUCUGAGAGGAUGAUCAGCCACAUUGGGACUGAGACACGGCCCAAACUCCUACGGGAGGCAGCAGUGGGGAAUAUUGGACAAUGGGCGAAAGCCUGAUCCAGCCAUGCCGCGUGAGUGAUGAAGGCCCUAGGGUUGUAAAGCUCUUUGUGCGGGAAGAUAAUGACGGUACGCAAGAAUAAGCCCCGGCUAACUUCGCGCCAGCAGCCGC